rnacentral:rRNA from 1 species
GGGCAAGUCUGGUGCCAGCAGCCGCGGUAAUUCCAGCUCCAAUAGCGUAUAUUAAUGUUGUUGCGGUUAAAAAGCUCGUAGUUGGAUCUCGGUUUCGGGCGAGUGGUGCACCUUGCGGUGUUUACUGUUUGCCCGGACGAUUUUGUUGGUUCGUUCAUGGUUCUCUUAACCGAGUGCCAUGAGUGGCCAGCACGUUUACUUUGAAAAAAUUGGAGUGCUCAAAGCAGGCGCUACAGCCUGAACAUUAGUGCAUGGAAUAAUGGAAUAGGAUCUCGGUUCUAUUUCGUUGGCUUUCGGAGUCGAGGUAAUGAUUAAUAGGGACAGACGGGGGCAUUCGUACUGCGACGUUAGAGGUGAAAUUCUUGGAUCGUCGCAAGACGAACUACUGCGAAAGCAUUUGCCAAGAAUGU